rnacentral:lncRNA from 10 species
CUAGUCUCCAAAUCUGCUGAUUAGUUAGUAGCCUGUAGACUCGAGUGUGCUGUGUUUUGGGAGCCUUAGUUUCCCAGAUCCCAUGGCUGCUGCUUUUUUGGUUUACCCUUUGGAAUAGAGCACAGCCCCUGGUAGAACCCCCAAACGGGAUGCCUUGGAGGUAAUUUUUUUUGACGCUUUGCAUAUCUGAGAUAUCUUUUAGCUAAUCAUGCACUUGAUUAUUAGUUUGACUGUGUAUAAAAGCCUAGGUUGUAUAUCAUUUAUGCUGAGAAUAUUUCUCCAGAUGCUUCUAGAUUUUAGGAUUGUUGUUUAGUAAUCUGAUGCCAUUCCAAUUCCUCUUGGUAUUCCUCAGGUCUGGGAAUGUUUCUUGUGUUAUUUCUAUUUCUUUAUUCUCUUUUUAAAUUGAGAUAUACUUUACCAUCUCACUCACCCUUUUAAACUGUAUUGUUCAAUGGUUUUCAGUAUAUUCAACAAGCAGUCGUGAAUCACCAUAAUCAAAUUUAGAGGGUUUUCAUCACCCUCAAAAGACAUCCCAGGCCAGGCGCAGUGGCUCACGCCUGUAAUCCAGCACUUUGGGAGGCAGAGGUGGGCGGAUCGCUUGAGCUCACGAGUUUGAG